GAUGAACGCUGGCGGCGUGCUUAACACAUGCAAGUCGAACGUGAGGGUGUAGCAAUAUGCCUGAAAGUGGCGAACGGGUGAGUAACACGUAGGUGACCUGCCUUGGAGCGGGGGAUAACGGCUGGAAACGGCUGCUAAUACCGCAUAUUGUGAGCAGUAUGGGAAUACUGUUUGUGAAAAUCUUGGUGCUUCAAGAGGGGCCUGCGUCCGAUUAGCUAGUUGGUGGGGUAAGAGCCUACCAAGGCGAUGAUCGGUAGCUGGUCUGAGAGGACGAUCAGCCACACGGGAACUGAGAAACGGUCCCGACUCCUACGGGAGGCUG
rnacentral:rRNA from 1 species